AAUAGUAAGUGUUUAAUUAUGGCACAUCCGGAUGGGUAUCUAGGUAUUUAACACAUGCAAGUCGUAUGUACACAUUUAGUGAUCAUGGCGUACUGGUCAGUAUCAUUGGGAAGGUGCCUCAAGAUCUAUGCGAAUCAUGGAUAUAUUAAAGGGUUAACCCCGUCUUGAGAUCCGCUCAAUGCCUAACAGGUAGUUGGUGAGGUAAUGCUUAACAAGCCUACGAGAGGAAGAGUAGGAUGAAAGUCUUAAACUCGACAUUGGAAAUGAAAAAGUCCAAAGCAUCAAUCGAUGCGCAGCAGUGAAGAAUAUUGGUCAAUGCACUAACGUGUGAACCAGUAACCUAGAUUCGAAUAUUCGAUAACAAACUUUUGAAUGAUGAUCUAAGUUUUAAUAGUCCUGUCCAAAUUCUGUGCCAGCAGACGCGGUAAGACAGAGAGGGCAACCCAUCGGAGUUAUAAAUUGGUGUAAAGGGUACGUAGCCGGUGAUGUUAUCACUAGAGUCUAAUGGAAGUAGAAACAAUACCUAGAGAAGGGCUGAUAUCUUAUGAUACUAGGGGGAGAACCAACGGCGAAAGCAUUCUACUAAGUAAAGACUGACGGUAAGGUACGAAGGCUAGGGCAUGAAUAGGAAUUAGAUACUCCAGUACUCCUAGCUGUAAACGAUGCAGAUUCAAGAUUAGUUAUAUCUAGCUAGUCUUAAUGCUAACGCGUUAAAUCUGCCACCUGUAUAGUAUAGUCGCAUGACCGAAAUACAAAUAAUUAGACGGCUUCUAAGCAAACGGAGUGAAGCAUGUUAUUUAAUACGAUAAUCCGCGUACAAUCUUACCACAUCUUGCAUACUGUCAAUAUCUGAAAAGAUGACAUGUACAGGUGCUGCAUGGCUGUCGCCAGUUAGUGCUAGUAAGGCCUAAGGUUAAUUCCGUUGAACUAACGCAAUCCUCACUGUAAGUUUAUACCUUGCAGUCUCAUUCUGAUAAAGAGUGAAUUUAGGAGGACUAUGACAAGCCCUCAUGGCCCUUAUGGUGUGGGCUAUAGACGUGCCACAAGAACAUAGACAGAGUGAUGCAAUCUCGAAAGAAGGAGCUAACCAUCAAAAUAUGUUAAUGUACGGAUUGUGAGCUGGAACUCGCUCAUAUGAAGUAGGAAUUCCGAGUAAUCGUGCAUCACCACGGCACGGUGAAACUAAAUCUUAGAAGUGUACUAACCGCUCGUCACGGGUUGAGAGAAGAAAAGUGAUGAAGUAGACUGAAGUUUAAUGCAUAUAAACAGCUAUAAGCACCUAAGGGUAAUUGCAUUAUAACCGAUGGUUACGAGUCGCCUACUUUGAUUGAUCUGAAGUCGAAACAAGGUAGUGUUAGAGGAAUCUGAUGCUGAUAGAUAAUUUUU
rnacentral:rRNA from 1 species